rnacentral:rRNA from 1 species
UACGGAGGGUGCGAGCGUUGUCCGGAAUCACUGGGCGUAAAGGGCGCGUAGGUGGCGACGCAAGUCAACGGUGAAAGCUCGACGCUCAACGUCGAGUCGGCCGUCGAUACUGCAUCGCUGGAGCACUGUAGAGGCAGAUGGAAUUCCGGGUGUAGCGGUGGAAUGCGUAGAGAGUCCCGGAAGAACACCGGGUGGCGAAGGCGGUCUGCUGGG